CCGAUUGGACUUGUGUGCUGUUAGAUAUUUUUAUUGUUGUGGAUUCAGGUGUAUGAUUAAUUGUUCGUUUGAAUAAUUUUGUCGAAAAACAAUAAAAAACAAUUCAGUGAUGGCGAAAACAGUGUUUUGCAUAAUUGACGGACUGUGUAAGUGGGUAAUAUAUAUCUCUGAAGGAAAUCUGUCUGAUACGGAAAUAAUCCGUCGAAGGUUAGAUGGAAUGUGUGCAUCAGACAAGUUAUUGGAUCAAAAAAUACAAGGAAAUCAUAUCCUCUCACAAAUAAAGGAUAUUGAUAGAAACAAACAGUUUCGUGAUCUUAAAGAAGAUGAAAAAAUCGAAAACAAAAGUGAUGUAAAUGUAAUUUUAAUUCCAAUAGAAGACAAAGUCAGUACCAAUGAUAUAAUGAAUGCAGGCUUCAUUGUACUUGACGAAACAACUACAGUUGAACAGAAUUGACCAGUAUCUCCUCCAGAAGACACAAAUAACCUUGCCAGUACUUCCAUUACGCCGUUGCCACCGACUGAUUCAGGAAAAAAAACAGCUUAAGUUCAUCAGGAUUAUCGUUACCACCUUUAACAAAAGAUUUACUUUCUCAAUCAGGAAUAACUCUUAAGAACCGACACCAAUUUAUUGCAUUUUGGGCUGCAUAUUUGUAUGAAAAAACUAAUGGAUCUCCAUCACCAAAAGACUAUGCAGCUUUUGCCCCAAAUAUAGCUGCUGCAUUCUCAAACUUAUCUACUGACGUUUAUGGAACUAAGGAAUCUAAAACCAGAAAAUAAAAAAGGUACUAAACGAAACCAAGAAGGAGAUCCCAAACAAAAAAAAUUACCUUCAGAACAAGCUGUGCUUCUUCCAUCAUCAGUUCAAACAGAUAUUGAUAUCCAGACCGCGCUUCAAGAAUUGGAGAAAGAUUAAAAUGAGGGUGUUAAUGUACUUCAAAAAAUUAUUAACCGGAUCACAGACAUGAUUACGAAAUAUUCUGCAUUACAAUAUUACGAAAUGGUUGUUUUUGAAUUUCUUAAUUUCAAAGAUUUGAUAGAAACAUCAGUUUUUGAAAAAUUAAAAAUAAUGAUUGAUAAAUUAUUGAAUUAUUAUUCAAUAAAAAACAAUGAUGAACGUUCCAAACUUCAAACAAUCACUAAUAUGUGUAGUGAACUGACUUCAAAAAAACUUUCUACAAGUAAAAAAAUAAAUCAGCUAUUUGUUGUGCAAGAGGUGAUGUCAUCAACAUCUACUCUAAUAACUAAAGAAAAUGAAGCUCCUCGAGCAGUCAUUUAUUUAAAUAAAAAUAAUAUAUCAACAGCGUACAUAGUGGCAGAUGAGAAUAUAAUGAUGGAAAUAAAAAAUCCAUCAACAGAAAAGGUUGUAAUUGGAAUUUUUCUGCAUACUAUGUCUGGCACCGAGAUUACCCACAAGCAUAAAUGAACAUUCUUCGUUAUUUAGAGCACGAAAUAUUAGGACUUAAAAUCAAUAUUAAAAAUUCAUUAAUACUAAAGUUCAAACAAAAACUUGAGCCGUCAUUGCAAGACCAGUAAGAUGAUUUAUGCUUUGUUGAAUCAUAUUCUUAUACUUUUUUAUAUUUUCAUUUUUACUUUUUCAUUUAUUAUCGUAAGUUCAUUGAUGGAAACAAUAAUAAAUGUAGAACUUUCAAUUAAUGAGUAUUCAUUCUUUAAGAGCCAUUUUUAACAUGUCUUCUUAACACGUGUUUCAGGAUUUCAUAAAUUAUAAAACACACUUUUUUCGAUAAAAUACACGUGUUGUGCUAACACACCUACACGUGCUAAAAAUAACACACCCAAAAGUGUAUUCAAAACGACUACACUGAAAUAACAUGUGUAGGUGUGUUGUUGCAACACACCCAGCAUUUGCAGUGUACUCGCAUGCAUAUUACUUCAACCUACGCGUUAACCCGCUUAGCUAUUUUAAUACUUAUUUUGUAAAGAAAAAUAUUCGAAUAAGAAA
rnacentral:lncRNA from 1 species